rnacentral:rRNA from 1 species
CAGUCGAACGGCAGCACAGUAAGAGCUUGCUCUUAUGGGUGGCGAGUGGCGGACGGGUGAGGAAUACAUCGGAAUCUACCUUUUCGUGGGGGAUAACGUAGGGAAACUUACGCUAAUACCGCAUACGACCUUCGGGUGAAAGCAGGGGACCUUCGGGCCUUGCGCGGAUAGAUGAGCCGAUGUCGGAUUAGCUAGUUGGCGGGGUAAAGGCCCACCAAGGCGACGAUCCGUAGCUGGUCUGAGAGGAUGAUCAGCCACACUGGAACUGAGACACGGUCCAGACUCCUACGGGAGGCAGCAGUGGGGAAUAUUGGACAAUGGGCGCAAGCCUGAUCCAGCCAUACCGCGUGGGUGAAGAAGGCCUUCGGGUUGUAAAGCCCUUUUGUUGGGAAAGAAAAGCAGUCGAUUAAUACUCGGUUGUUCUGACGGUACCCAAAGAAUAAGCACCGGCUAACUUCGUGCCA